rnacentral:rRNA from 1 species
UAAUUUUUGUAUUAUUUUGUUUUUAUUUAUUUUUUAUUUUUAAAUAAAAUUCUUUUUUGUUUAAGUAUUUUUUUUUUGAAAUAAUUUUUUUAAUUAUAAUUUAUUUUUACUGUUAAGGUCUUAUUAUAUUUUUUAAUAAUUUAAUUUUUUUUUGUACCUUUUGUAUCAGGGUUUAUAGAUUUAAUUUUAUUUAUUUAUUAUUCUCGAAUUUGUUUAAUCUAAAUUUUUAUGUUUAUUAAGGUUUUAUAUUUAAUUAUUAUAUUAAUUUAGUUGUGAUAUGCUAUUCAUAAUCAAAUAUAUCUAGUUUUCUUAGAAUUGAAUUUAAUUCAUAAUUAUUUAUUUAAUAUUAAUAAUUUUUUUUAUUAUUUAUUUAAUUUUAUAUUAAGGGGGAUUAGCUUUUUAAUUUUUUAUAAUUAUUUAUAUUAAAUAUUGUGUAGGAUUUAUAAUGUUCAUUACUUAUUAUUAUAUUAUAAUUUAAUAUUUUAUUAUUUUUAUUUAUUUUAAUUUAAUUAUUUAUUUGAAUUAAUCUUUUAAUUAUUUUUGUUUUUAAUAAUUAUAUAAUUAGUAUAUUUAUAUUAUAUGUUGUUUUUUUUUUUAAAAUUUUAAUAAGGAAUUAGGCAAAUAUUAUUUAUUCACCUGUUUAUCAAAAACAUCUUCUCUUGUUUAAUUAUAUGAGAUAAGGCCUGCCCAAUGAUUUAUUAAAUGGCUGCGGUAUUUUGACCGUGCAAAGGUAGCAUAAUCAUUAGUUUAUUAAUUGUAAACUUGUAUGAAUGGUUUAAUGAAAUAUAUACUGUCUUCAUUAUUAUAGAUAAAAUUUAAUUUUUUGGUUAAAAAGCCUAAUUUUUAUUAAGGGACGAGAAGACCCUAUAGAUCUUUAUUUUUUAUUAUUUUAUUUUUUAAUUUUUAUUUAUAAUUUUUAUUAAAUUUGGUUGGGGUGACAAGGGGAUAUAAUAAACUCUUCUUUAUUUUUUCAUUAAUUUAUGUUAUUUUAAAUUUUUAUUAUUUAUUUUAGAAUUAGAUACCUUAGGGAUAACAGCGUAAUUUAAUUUGAGAGUUCUUAUUGACAAUUAAGAUUGCGACCUCGAUGUUGGAUUAAGAAUAAAUUUUGGUGUAUAAGUCAUUUAUUUAGGUCUGUUCGACCUUUAAUUUCUUACAUGAUCUGAGUUCAAACCGGCGUGAGCCAGGUUGGUUUCUAUCUUUAAUUAAUUUAUUUAUAUUAGUACGAGAGGACCAUAUGAUUUAAAUAUUUUAUUAUUUUGAUUAUUUU